rnacentral:rRNA from 1 species
CAGUAGCCGCGGUAAUACGUAGGGUGCAAGCGUUAUCCGGAAUUAUUGGGCGUAAAGAGCUCGUAGGCGGUUUGUCACGUCUGCUGUGAAAACGCGAGGCUCAACCUCGCGCCUGCAGUGGGUACGGGCAGACUAGAGUGCGGUAGGGGAGAUUGGAAUUCCUGGUGUAGCGGUGGAAUGCGCAGAUAUCAGGAGGAACACCGAUGGCGAAGGCAGAUCUCUGGGUCGUAACUGACGCUGAGGAGCGAAAGGGUGGGGAGCAAACAGGCUUAGAUACCCCAGUAGUCCCUGUCUCUUAUAC